GACGAACGCUGGCGGCGCGCCUAACACAUGCAAGUCGAACGAGCAAAGAGGAGCUUGCUUCUCUGAGCGAGUGGCGAACGGGUGAGUAACGCGUGAGGAACCUGCCUCAAAGAGGGGGACAACAGUUGGAAACGACUGCUAAUACCGCAUAAGCCCACGGGUCGGCAUCGACCAGAGGGAAAAGGAGCAAUCCGCUUUGAGAUGGCCUCGCGUCCGAUUAGCUAGUUGGUGAGGUAACGGCCCACCCAAAGGCGACGAUCGGUAGCCGGACUGAGAGGUUGAACGGCCACAUUGGGACUGAGACACGGCCCAGACUCCUACGGGAGGCAGCAGUGGGGAAUAUUGCACAAUGGGGGAAACCCUGAUGCAGCGACGCCGCGUGGAGGAAGAAGGUCUUCGGGAUUGUAAACUCCUGUUGUUGAGGAAGAUAAUGACGGGUACUCAACAAGGAAGUGACGGCUAACUACGUG
rnacentral:rRNA from 1 species